UACAGAGGUCCCGAGCGUUGUUCGGAUUCAUUGGGCGUAAAGGGUGCGUAGGUGGCGUGGUAAGUCUGGUGUGAAAUCCCGGGGCUCAACCCCGGAACUGCACUGGAUACUGCCAUGCUUGAGUACUGGAGAGGAGAUUGGAAUUUACGGUGUAGCAGUGAAAUGCGUAGAUAUCGUAAGGAAGACCAGUGGCGAAGGCGAAUCUCUGGACAGUUACUGACACUGAGGCACGAA
rnacentral:rRNA from 1 species